GAUGAAGAACGUAGCGAAAUGCGAUAAGUAAUGUGAAUUGCAGAAUUCAGUGAAUCAUCGAAUCUUUGAACGCACAUUGCGCCCGCCAGUAUUCUGGCGGGCAUGCCUGUUCGAGCGUCAUUACAACCCUCAGGCCCCCGGGCCUGGCGUUGGGGAUCGGCGGAAGCCCCCUGCGGGCACAACGCCGUCCCCCAAAUACAGUGGCGGUCCCGCCGCAGCUUCCAUUGCGUAGUAGCUAACACCUCGCAACUGGAGAGCGGCGCGGCCACGCCGUAAAACACCCAACUUCUGAAUGUUGACCUCGAAUCAGGUAGGAAUACCCGCUGAACUUAAGCAUAUCAAUAAGCGGAGCA
rnacentral:misc_RNA from 1 species